AUAUACAUGUUGGAUAAAGUGUAGGAAGUGGUGUAGUGGAAGCACUGAGGGUCUUGGUCUCUCUGGGGUGGGUUCAAGUCCCUCCUUCCUAAGACAUAUUUGG
rnacentral:tRNA from 1 species